GUGUCAGCAGCCGCGGUAAUACGUAGGGUGCGAGCGUUAAUCGGAAUUACUGGGCGUAAAGCGUGCGCAGGCUGUUUUGUAAGUCAGAUGUGAAAUCCCUGGGCUCCACCUAGGAACUGCGUUUGAAACUACAAGGCUAGAGUGUAGCAGAGGGGGGUAGAAUUCCACGUGUAGCAGUGAAAUGCGUAGAGAUGUGGAGGAAUACCAAUGGCGAAGGCAGCCCCCUGGGUUGACACUGACGCUCAUGCACGAAGGCGUGGGGAGCAAACAGGAUUAGAUACCCUUGUAGUCC
rnacentral:rRNA from 1 species